UAGCUUUGCUUUUGUUGCUAUUGUGUUUUCUUAUGGAGCAAUUUCAGGCAAAGCAGAGUCAGUUGGAUAUACGGGAAUUAAGUGGUGGAGAGAGCUUGGAAUCCAAAAGAAACGGAUGUCACAUGCUGGGAAUAGUGUUCAAGAUCUACCAGGAGAAGGAAUACUAGUAAAUGAUCCUAGAUCUCAGAUGGGAACCCUGACUGGCUCACCUUAAGAAGCUACAAGCUGGAUCACUUCAACAAAUUGAUAUUGGCAGCUUUACCAAAUAUUUUACCAUUGGAUAAUAUAGUCAUUCAUCUUUUUCACUUCUAAUACCAGUUUCCUCACUAUCUACUGCCUGAUCACUAAGCCACUGUUGGGAAGCAAGAAUUCUUAUGUCCUCAAAGGACCUUGUAGUUGACUAAGAGUCAAAUAGGCAUGACACAGAUUAAUAGGAGAAAAUCAAAUUUAAUAGGGUACAUAUGGGGAAUCCACAUAGACGUGGAAAUUCCAAAGAUAGUGAGGCAAAUGAUGCUUAUAUAAACUAAGGAGAGAAAUAAGGGUCUGAGGAGGCAAAGGAGAGAGGAACAAGUAGCAGUAAGCUGAGAGGAGAUGUUUGGAAAACAAAGCUUGCCCUAUUAUGCAGGUAAGUCUCUUCAGUAAAGAGGAAUCUGUCAAAAGCUCUUUUCCUGGUACAGGCAGGCAGUUGAGGGGAACUUGAAGAGCUUUUUCUGAGUCUUCUGGGUUUUUAUUGCUUUUAACUUAAAAUAAUGUUUACGCGAAAGUGACCAGUGUUGGGCAGCCUGCCUUUCACCCCUAUACCACACAUACAAGGUAUUUCUUAA